UGGGAUGUAGCAUAGUGGCAAAGCACUUGCUUUGCAAGUACAAUGCCCUGGGUUCGAUUCCCAGUACCAA
rnacentral:tRNA from 1 species